CUUCUUCCUAAUCCUCAGUUCGAGCAGAAGAAAUGAGUAGCAACAAGCUCUCUCCGUCUUGGGUGCUUCUCUUCGUUCUCGUGCUUCUCUUAACUCUCAAUGUUGCAGCAGUUAGGCUACUUUCUGCACUAGACGGACGUGUAGGCUAUGAUUCUGAUGACAAUCCAUUCGGUGGUGGGUGGAUUAACAAGCCACGUAUCAAUCCUUGACGCCAUGAUCACCCCUACACCAACCUGCAAAAUGCUAUAUAAACAUAUACACACACAUAUAUAUGCAUAUAUGUUGCAGAUAAAAAUAAAGUGAUGUAUAGCUCAUGAUGUUUAUACAUCUCUUAAGUUUCUAGAUAAAUAAAUUAGUCAGCUUCUUGACAGAUUGUUAUCACCCUUAAUACCCAGAAUACAUGUAUGUAUUCUGCGCGACAAAAAGAUAUUGGUAACUAUAUGAUUACCUACUUCGUUAAUGAAUUUUAUAGUAACAGAAAUAUGUGUCCCA